CAACCCUCGAUUUCCCUUUUGGGAACUCGGCCGUUGGAGAUCGGGCGAUCUCAUCGAGAUCCACCGGCUCCCAAAUUUAGUGGCGGCCCGUCCGCGGCGACCUCUGCGUAGUAACAACCACUCGUAUUGGAGACCCGACGCUUGGCCACGCCGUAAAACAACCCAAUUUCUGAA
rnacentral:misc_RNA from 1 species